rfam:Populus trichocarpa isolate Nisqually-1 chromosome 1, whole genome shotgun sequence.
AAACCAAAUGAUGAAUUUGGAUGUAAAUUUCUCACGAUGGUCAUCUAAGACUCUUCAAGUUUCAGUGUUGAUUCAAUUAUCCAAUGCUCCUGAUGGUU